rnacentral:rRNA from 2 species
AGUGAAGCGGCAAGAGCUCAAAUUUGAAAUCUGGCCCCCUCCACGGGGGUCCGAGUUGUAAUUUGCAGAGGAUGCUUCUGGCGCGGCGCCUUCCGAGUUCCCUGGAACGGGACGCCACAGAGGGUGAGAGCCCCGUCCGGUCGGACGCCUAGCCUGUGUGAAGCACCUUCGACGAGUCGGGUAGUUUGGGAAUGCUGCCCUAAAUGGGAGGUAUAUGUCUUCUAAAGCUAAAUACCGGCCAGAGACCGAUAGCGCACAAGUAGAGUGAUCGAAAGAUGAAAAGCACUUUGAAAAGAGGGUUAAACAGUACGUGAAAUUGUUGAAAGGGAAGCGCUCAUGACCAGACUUGGGCCCGGGGGAUCACCCGGCGUUCUUUUCGCCGGGGCACUUCGCCGGCUGCCCAGGCCAGCAUCAGUUCGCGGCGGGGGACAAAGGCUUCGGGAACGUGGCUCCCUACGGGGAGUGUUAUAGCCCGCUGCGCAAUGCCCUGCCGCGGACUGAGGUUCGCGCUUCCGCAAGGAUGCUGGCGUAAUGGUCAUCAGCGACCCGUCUUGAAACACGGACCAAGGAGUCGUCUUCGUAUGCGAGUGUUCGGGUGUCAAACCCCUACGCGCAAUGAAAGUGAACGCAGGUGAGAGCUUCGGCGCAUCACCGACCGAUCCUGAUGUUCUCGGAUGGAUUUGAGUAAGAGCAUACGGGGCCGGACCCGAAAGAAGGUGAACUAUGCCUGUAUAGGGUGAAGCCAGAGGAAACUCUGGUGGAGGCUCGCAGCGG